UCCGUGUGUGACAAGCGGAGGCUGGGGACAUGGGGGCGGCCGAGCCCCAGAACUGGCAGCUCCCUGGCUUGGUACCCUCGGCUCUGUUCCAGAAGCUCCCCCUUGUCUUCCGGAGGCCAGGGUUUCACAGCAAGCCUUCCUCACCUGGACCUCUGUCCCCAACCCUUCCAUGGGACCUGGCGGGAGAGCUGGAUUUUCGUCUCGGCUACCUACACUCCUGGCUCCCUGUUCCCCUGUCAACAACUUGCAACUAAUGGUCUUUCCUGCUUCUUCUUGGCUAAGGAGAAGCCAUGCUUUAACUGUAAGGAGCAAGAACAACACUUUGAUCAAUAACCAACCACAUAUGCCUCGCUCUUCACAAUUCUAUGUGGCAAUCACUAUUUUCUCCAGAAAACUGACAUUCAGAUGGAAUUCACAGAGCUAGAAGACAGCUGGGAUUUAAGGUGACCCACAGGACCUGCAGCUGGGGUGAACAGUUCCAAUCCCUAACUGGCUGCUGGGGGUCCCAGAAGACAGAAUGCCUGGAGAGAGAGUCAUUCCCACUGGAUUGAAGUGGACUGUUUUCCAUUCACCCUGCAGACAGCAAUCUUGUUUCACCAAAGAACUGCAUUUUUCAGCCUCUUUUUUCCCUGAUCCUCCAGCAGCCUCUGGCUGGGGUCAUGCGGGUCUCCUUGGGUAGGAAGAUGCCCAGGUCCACUUGGGUUCCUGCUCCUAACUUGGUCACUCCCCAAAUUUAUUUUUUUUGUGGGGGGAGGGGAGAAGAAAGUGGACUAACACACAGGUCUAUGGACACCUCUGCAGAAAAAUAUGUCUUUUGUUGGGGGGAAGUCCAGAUGGAAUCUUAGAGCUGGGAAAUACAUCUGUUUGCUCGC